UACGUAGGGGGCAAGCGUUGUCCGGAUUUAUUGGGCGUAAAGAGCGUGUAGGCGGUCUGGUAGGUCCGUUGUGAAAACUCGAGGCUCAACCUCGAGACGCCGAUGGAAACCAUCAGACUAGAGUCCGGAAGAGGAGAGUGGAAUUCCUGGUGUAGCGGUGAAAUGCGCAGAUAUCAGGAGGAACACCGGUGGCGAAGGCGGGUCUCUGGGCCGUAACUGACGCUGAGGAGCGAAAGCGUGGGGAGCGAACAGG
rnacentral:rRNA from 1 species